GUCUGAGUGGUGGAAGCCGUGGUGAACUGGUGAUUAGAAGCCCUUGUUCUCCGAGGAUUAUUUGGGAGAAAUCAAGUAAUUCGUAAACCCUAUUUUAUAUAUCUUGAUUUAUGUAAUUUAUU